AUUGUUGGAGCUCCAGCCACCACACCUGCAUUCCAGGCAAGGAAAAGAGGAAGAGAAAAGAGCAAAAAUGUGCAUCCCAGCUUUCUAUUCUCCAAGAUAUCGUACCCAAUAACCUCUGCUCACAUUUCAUUGACCAGAAUUUCAUUACUUGGGUGCAGGGGAGUCUGGGAAAUGUGGGUUUUCGAGCUGGGUGCAUGGCCACCUGGACUUAAACAAGAAUUCUGUUUCUAAGGAAGAACAGGAGAAUGAAGUUUGGUGGGCACCUAGCAAUUUCUGCCUCACUUAGCACAGCAGUCAAGGCGUUGAAUGAAUUUUCACACCAGUGAGCUCAUUCUGUUCCUUCUUCCUGCUCAGCAGGCAUGUCUUGCAGAUGGGUCGGCAGGGAAAGUCCAUCAUUUGGCCGUUAGGUUUGGCUGCCCUGACUGACAUGCACCUCCUGAACAAGCCCGAGCUUUCUGUCUUCCGGCGCAGCACUUCUGCUGCUUCCAAGGCAGCAUCUGGAAACCCAUGUAAAAGGCAGAGCCGCUAAUGGCUCUCACUCUGUUCCCCAGCGAGCAGUGCAUCUCCAUCCCACUGCCCUGGAACUGCCCACUGAGAAGACCCUGAGUUUGUACGCACUUGCACGCACAUACACACACCCCUCAAAGAAAGAAACCUCUUCUAGUGUUAGUACCUUCUCACCUGGAGCGGGAUACACAGUUUUCCUUACAGAUCCAAGAAGGACUACACAUGUUGCAGGCCAUAGAUGCCCUACGCUGGACCCUUCCACGUACAGGUUCAGAUCCACGGGCCCCCAAGCCGGUCACAGUGUUUGCCAGAUUUUGCAGAUGGGAAAAGGUGGAGCUGCAGGAGGCCAGGUGACACGCCAAGGUCCUGUGGCCAGCAAGCAGGAACUCAAUGUCUCCUCCACGUUGCUGUUCGGAGUGUGGUCCCAGGAUCGGCAGCAUCUGCAACACCAUGGAACGUGUAAGAAACACAUCCAGAUCUCAGGCUCCGCCCCAGAACGCCUGAAUCAGAACCCAAGUUUGGACAGGAUCCCCAGGUGAUUCAUCGGUACAUCGAAGGUUGAGAAGAAACUCUGAAGCCCCUUCCGGCUGUCAAGCGCUCUGAUCCUAUGGGAAGGGAUCCAGUAACACCAGCCAAGAUACAUGGAGCCCUUACUCUGUGGCAGACCUCUCCCACGAUUCUAUCUCCUUUCCACACGAGCUCUAGGCAGGGCAAUCGUGCUGCUGGUUUUAAGGAGAGAAGCUGAGGCCUGGCUCAGGAAAGCUGGGCUUCUCUGCAGAGGUCACCUCACUCAACUGGGGACAGAGCUGGAUCCCAAAUCAGGGGGGCCUGAUUUCACCCACACUUCAUGCUGUGUUGCCUCGGCUCCGGGUGAUGCUUUGGAGAGGAACUGACAUCAGAAUUUUGCAUCACCAGGUGAUGAGGAGUUUGUCAGGCACUUUGCUAGUUUGCCAUGAUGGCAGACAUUCCAGGGGAAGCAAGAGCAAGGGCAGCGGUCCAGGGACGGGAGAAAGUUUGGCAAAUCCAG